CCCAAACGUCCUCCACUGGAUAGAUGCUGCCGAGCUGGAGACCCUGGACUCCAACACGGUGAAGUUACACUUCGCUAGCUCUGCCACGCCAGUCUGCAAAAGAGUCAGAGAGCACAGAGCAAAUCCUGUGACCCGACAGCGAAAUAAUCAUCACCAACGUGCUCAUGCCCUAGACGGCAGCUCCACCGCUGAUUACCCUCGUGAUUCUCCAGCCCACAGAAGAAAGCAAUGUUCAGCUUAGCUCAGCGGGAAACACUCCUGUAGCCGGGCUUCCCACACCUUUCAAAGUUGCCGUAGUGUUUUCUACGCCAGCUGCAAGCACGUUAGCAACUGUCCUAUAACCUGAAGAAACGCGCGUCUAAAAGGAGAAAAUCUUUGUGUAGUUUUAUUUAGCAUGGUAGCCAUUGAUAGUCAUAUGAUCUACAAGCACUGGGACUCUAAGGGAAUUGCUUCCUCAAGCUCUCGGAAACUCACCAACACCAUAGCUGCGACUUCACCAAUGCCAUAGCUGCC